UCAGUUGCUAGUCUAUAUAUGUUUCUGGACACCGUAAGUGAUGUGUGGCUUGUUGCGAGCGGAGGUCUGUAGUAACUGUUUGAACUGUGUUGGGGGAGGAUGUGUCCGGGUGUGGCUGACCAGCCGGUGGUAAAUACUGUUUCGGCUGCUACAGCUCUCCAGCCCAGGGUAUCGACUGCCUAGUCUUCAACUGCCUCCCAACAUGGUAGCGAGGUCCUGAGCUGAUGUACCCUAUGGCGAAGAUUGAGGAAGUAGUUUCCUGAAGUAAUGAAUGGCACUUUAUAACCAGCAGCCGGCACCAGCUCUGGACAACGUCUGAGUGGACAAGGCCCAGAUCCCGUGGGGAGGAAGGUCUACAACAUGUAAAAGAACAUAGAUUGGAAAGUCCUAAACUACAUUCCUGGAGUUUGAAGGUGUCGAUUGACAUUCAGAAUCAGAUUACAAUGGUAUCCAAGCAUUGACUGACUUGAAGUGUGGCUGUUCUACUCUGCACAUCUAUGAAGCUGGUUGUGGAGGGUCCUUCCAACAAUUUCAGGGAUGGUGUACAGAACAAUUGGUGAAAGUUAUGCUACAGAAAAUAGUAGUUGUGUAUGAGAAUUAGUUGGUAAAAAACAUGGAUUGGGAAGUCCUAAAUUACAUCCUAGAGUUUGAAGGUGUUGAUUGACAUUCAGACUCAGAUUACAAUGGUAUCCAAGCAUUGACUGACUUUUAAGUGUGGCUGUUCUACUCUGCACAUCUAUGAAGCUGGUUGUGGAGGGUACUUCCAACAUAAUUUCAGGGAUGGUGUACAGAACAAUUGGUGAAAGUUAUGCUACAGAAAAUAGCAGUUGUGAGAAUUAGUUGGUAAAAAAUAUGGAUUGGGAAGUGCAGAAUUACAUCCUGGAGUUUGAAAGUGUUGAAUGCUUGACAUUCAGAAUAAGGUGCUAAUGAAGAUUACAAUGGUACCAAAGCAGUGAGGCUAUUCUACUUCACACAUCCAAUAAACUGGUGGAUGUUCUUGUUACUCUGGAGUUUUCCCUGUCCUUUUGGAGUCUUCAGUGGAUUGCAUCUAGGAGGAGCAGCUUCCCACAACCUGAAAUGGACAAUAGUCAAUAUUAGAUGUUACACUGUAUACUAUGCAAUAAAUAUUCUAAUGAAACUA